UCUCUGGCGCAGCGGUCCGGUGCUUCCGACGGAAGUGAAAAGGGAAGCCGGUGCAAUACCGGCGCUGCCCCCGCAACUGUAAGCGGCGAGCCUUUGCCCAGAUGCCACCGGUUCCGUCCGGGAAGGCGGGCAAACAGGCCGAGACCCGCGAAGCCAGGAAACCUGCCGGAUCGACGACGACCCA
rnacentral:ncRNA from 2 species